rnacentral:miRNA from 1 species
CGGGGCCAUGGAGCAGCCUGUGU